AAAAAGAGAAUAUUUUCCCCGUAGACAGUGGGUGCGAAAGCAUAACGAUAUACUACCCACCUAGGUUGAUUAUAAUAGAUGUAUUAUAGACCUUCCUGUCUGCGGGAAGGUCUUUUUGAUAAAAGAA
rfam:Clostridium saccharoperbutylacetonicum N1-4(HMT), complete genome.